AAGGAGGGGGAUUGAGGGAUGAAUGGAGGAAGGGAGAAAAGGGAGAGGGAGGUGUUUAAGACAGUGGCACCUCCAGUUCUUCUGCUUCCUCUGGCAAAAGAAUCAAGAUUUCCUUGAUUUACCAUGCAGCCAGGUCUGCUGCAGAGACCCCACCUUUCACCACAUGGUAGAAAUGGAGGAAUGUUAAUGUCUGGUUUCUAUUCUGAUAGAAUUAGGAUUCCGUUUCUGUAGUGUAAGUCAUCGAGUAAGCAGAAUCCAAGGCACCCUGAAAAAAAAAAGCUUCAGGACAAACACAUAAUAACAUAUGGUCUUGCAGAGCUGUAAUUCUGGUGUUCAGGAAGCUGAGGCAGGAGGAUCACUGUGAAUUCAAGGUCUCCCCCAGCUUCAUGGACGCUGGAAGGUAAGUACCCAUCAAAAAACUAAUUUCCCACGCUGGGAGAUUUUAUCAACCACUCUAGUGCCUCAGCUCUCUUUGCCUCCACAACUCCAGAGCUGGCUUUCUUUGUGUGCUUGGCACAGCAGGGGGCAUCUGUGUGCACUGCAGAUGUUCUUACCCAUGCUCCUUUUUGGCAGGCGUCUCUGUGAUGACUAAUAUUGGCGCUGUCGUGAAGCCCAGUCAGCUCUUGCUUGCAAGCUUUUGCCAGCAGCCUCACCUUCAAGAUUCGAAAACCCACACAGUUUACAAUCCCAUCCAAGGCACCUCUGGGAAGACCUUAAAGUUUCAUUUGUUAGAAGGUGGGAAAGGGCUGGCAAGAUGGCUCAGUGAGUAAAGGUGCUUGCUGCCAAACCUGAUGACUUGAGUUCAAUUCCCUGGGUCCGCAGGAUGAAUGGAGAGAACUAACUCUUGCAAGUUGGUUCUUCUGAUUCUAAUGAGUGCUGUUAUGAGGUCAGCUGUCAGUGUUGAUGUGUCUCCCUCAACAAUCUGCACUAUGGCUUUACUCCCAUCAAGCUACCUCACUUCUUUUGUGAGUCUGUGUGAGCCCUGUUUUCAAUUCUUCGUAUAAGAAGCCUAGUAACCAGAACUACCUGACCCCAGACCCUAACCAACAAUAACAGUUCAGUGUCCUAGAAAAAUGAGGAUAGCUAAUUACUGGAAUAGCCAAGAUUCCCAAGAUUCCUGAAUGCUGUGCUGUCUAUAUUAUAUUGACAGAGGAAGAUUAUAAACUAGAAAUGAAGGCUUUGUGCUGGCACCCAAUGACUAUAACCCUUAAUGUCACAAUCUCACGUGAACCUGGGUUGGAACCCCAAACAAGACCCUGACUCAGUUGUCUUUGUAUUGUGAUGACCAAACAUGACUUGGUGAGGGAAGUUUAUUUGACUUAUACAUCCAGAUCAGAGUCUCUCAUAAAAGGAAGUUGGGGCAGGAACCUGGAUACAAGAACUGAUGCAGAGGUCACAGAGGAACCCUACCCAUUGGCUCACCCAGCCUGCUUUCUGAUACCACCCAGGACCACCUUCCCAGGAGUGACACUACUCUGCAGAGGGCUGGGCGAUCCCUCAUCAAUGAUUAAUGGAGAAAAUGCCACACAGACUUCCCAGCAGGCAAUCCAAUGCAGGCACUUUCUCAACUUUCCCUCUUCACAGAUGAUCCAAGCUUGUAUCCAGUUGACAACAAAACCCCACAAAAAUGAAACAAAAAACAAACAAACAAACAAACAAACAAAAAACAAAACAAAACAAAAAACUAACUGGCCCAACCCUGGAUUGCAAAACAGGGCCCUGAGAGAAAUUACAGAAGGCUUUUCAAUCCCUUUCUCAAACCCUGCUGUGUGAACCAUGUUGGAGGAGCUUGUUCUGAGAUGCUCCAUGCAAAUGAGAUGGGAAAGAGAAAGGACAGAACUACCUGACUCACAGGCACCAUCUGGAUGUCCUGCCUCAGCUUGCCCACAAAAGCAAUGGCAGUGGGCGAGAAGAAACCAAAGAGAACCUGUACUGUCAGGGUGACUUGGGGUGGAGCAGACGUUGCACACUGGAGCGAAUGCCACCGAGUCAGUGACGCAGAGUCUCCAGUUAUCGGUAAGCACCGCUGACAGAAGAGCUUGCAGAUACAGGCUGUGGACGCAAGCCACAGGUGAGGAGACGCUGAGAGGUUUCCUGUCAGGCUCUAGGAAGGAUCCAGGCAAACCUGGCACCACGCCUGUCAUUUAGCCUUGUUGUCCCCAAGCCAUCCAAGGGCAGGUAGCAUUCUAUCCAAGUCUCUAGGAAUAAGGGGGAUUGGGGCUGUAACUUUAAUUUCAAAUCCUAUUUUUAACAAUGGUCCUUAAAACGCUUUAACCUCCCUUGUAGCCCACCACCCACCAGAGGUACUGGUAAAGCAAGGAAGUGAACCUGUUUACAAAGUUUCCUUAGAGCAGCUCUCACCUGUGAUGUCUGGAAGUGGGGCAGUUCAGCUCACAGGUCAGCAGAGGCAACUCGAUCCACGCACAAAUGCUUCAUGGGUACAUCAGCUGUCUAGUUCAGUAGAGUCGGGAUGGCAUUCAGCAGGGGUGGCACUACGUAACGGAGACAGCCAGGCCUCAACCUUGGCAGCAGGAGGGACCAGGAGGAAUGCCAGGAGAAGUUCUAGGCUGUGUCUCUCUCAGUAAAACGAAGCUCACUGAAGACAAGAGGUCAGCAAGCAUUAUACAGUGAGCUUUCUAAGCAAGCCUAGCUGAGCCUCCACCACAGUCCCUGGGGUCCUAUUGAGACCCCCCCCAAACAUCACAAGUCCUCCAUGGGUCUUGCCUUAGCAUGUAUCUUGUCUUAGCACGUGCAUCCGUCUCAGCUGAUAUCACUCUGCCCAUCGAGGAAGCAGCAGGAAACUACAGCACACCACCAGAAGUUUUUUGGUCCAUUUCUCUCAAAUGAAGCCAGCUCAACCACACAACAUAAGGUUCUGAUGUGUCUUCCUUACUUGUAAGAAGAGCUGGUUGCUGGAUCAGAGUUCCCCUUCUCCUCUUUCCUUUCGUUUUGAAAUCACUCAGUUUCCCAGAGUCUGCCAUGUCAAAUCCAUGACUUGUAGGUCAGACAAAUGCUUGCUUUGUUCAGACACAUCCAGUCACCUUCGCCAUCCUAUGUCACCCUGUUCUACACAGGAGAUGAUUGCCAACUGCUGACUGGUUUGGAUUUGUUGUGGAGACUCCAUGAGAAGAACUCCAGCUACCUAUUCUACCAGCCUGGCUGACUGCCUGCAGACCUGUCUCCAGACACAUGUCUGGAGUGUUGCAGAAAGGACAAUGAACAAGUGCCACCAUGAGACCUUUGCUGAGAUCAAAACCUGUGUGGAAUGCCUUUGCCUCAUGCACAUAAAGGUUCAAUCCUGGGGAGAAACUGCAACUUGGAAUCCCUGAGUGGCUUGUCACAAAGCAGUGCUAGGACCCUCCUUUCUGCCUCAGACUACAGCCCAGUGAGAUGCCUCUGCAGGAGCUUUCAAAAAGGGUGACUCUUGUCAAAAUGGCAGCACCACAACAUCUCAGUCUGCAACUGUUUCAGGAGCUGUCCAAGGUGGCGCAUCUCCUUCCCCACUUCAGCCUAUAGAAACAAGAAGGCAAGAGCUGUCCCACAGGUAUUGUUCACAGUGGCAGCACCUCCUCUCCAGCCCUGGCCUUCCCCAGCAGUCCUACAGCAAAAGUCAGGCUGAAGUUGGGAAGGACUUCCCACCCUAGCCCAUGGGUCUGAUGCAGAAGGAGGUGAAAAAAAGCUACCAAUCUCUAAGCAGGAAAACCAAUCCCUGAGCUCCCCACCUCCCCCACCCCACCCCCACCCAAAACAAUCCCUAAGCACAAAAAAACCACCAAUCCCUGAAUAGCAACCCCCAACAACCCCUGAGCUCCCCAAGCUCAGGACAUGAAAUCCCACCAAUCCUCACUCUGGUAAUCUCUGCCCUGAGAAGCUAUGCCCCCUCAGAAAGUGUAGGUUGAUAUCCUUACACAGGUGAAGGCAGGUACAGGAUAAAGUGAGGCCUGUCAUUGGAUGAGGGGAAAGGGAGGUGGGAGCAGAGGUUUUAGAAGGGGAGGGAGGAGCAGCAUGGAAAGAGAAGUAAACGGUCCUCACCAUGCAUCUCUACAUAGAUACAGGUUGUUGUAAAUAUUUCUUAAGGGAUGGAUUUCUAUAGGCAAAUUUA
rnacentral:sRNA from 1 species